rnacentral:rRNA from 1 species
UACUGCCUUAUACUGGAGCAUACCCCAAGAAAUUGGGAUUAAUUCUCCAUAAUAUAUAGAAGAGGCAUCUCUUUCAUAUUAAAACUCAGGUGGUAUAAGAUGAGUGUGCGUCUGAUUAGCUAGUUGGUAAGGUAACGGCUUACCAAGGCAACGAUCAGUAGCUGGUCUGAGAGGAUGAUCAGUCACACGGACACUGAGACACGGGUCCG